AGUCACUGACAUUAGAUACCCCGGUAGUCCCAGCCGUAAACAAUGUGCGUUAGGUAUGUCGGUAACCACGUGUUACUGAUGUGCCGAAGAGAAAUCGUGAAACGCACCACCUGGGAAGUGCGGUCGCAAGGCUGAAACUUAAAGGAAUUGGCGGGGAGCACCACAACAGGUGGAGCCUGCGGUUUAAUUGGAUUCAACGCCGGACAUCUCACCGGAUAAGACGGCUGAAUGAUUGUCAAUCUGAAGGUUUUACAUGACUAGCUG
rnacentral:rRNA from 1 species